rnacentral:rRNA from 1 species
UCAACCUUCCCUACAGUGGGGAUAACUAGCCGAAAGGUUAGCUAAUACCGCAUGAGAUCUUCGAGUGGCAUCAUUUGAAGAUGAAAGGAGCAAUCCGCUGAAGGACGGGACCGCGUCCCAUUAGCUAGAUGGUGGGGUAAUGGCCUACCAUGGCAACGAUGGGUAGCUGGUUUGAGAGAGCGACCAGCCACACUGGGACUGAGACACGGCCCAG